UUAUUGGUGAGGAAAUUUAAAAUUAACCACUUCAUAAAGGAAAGCUGUCUGUGUGUGUGGUCCUGUGGGUGGUAUCGAUUUGUAGAGUGAAGUUUUUAUAUAAAGCACCCUGAGUCAGCUUAAAUGACGAUAUAUAAAGAAACUAAACUCGAGGAAAAAGGGCGUUCCCAUACCGGGAGUCGAACCCGGGCCGCCUGGGUGAAAACCAGGAAUCCUAACCGCUAGACCAUAUGGGAUUUGCGGCCAAGAGUCAUCAUCAUAUGUAUAUGACAUAAAUGAAUGGCAAACGAAUCCGGAAAUGACAGGAUGGUGGUGGUACUUUUGUUCGUGGCGCCAUGACGUUCCUAAAAUAACUUUAACGUUAGCGAUUCAUUCCCCGAAAGCUGACACAGAACUGCAUGUUUUAAGCUAGCUCCUUAGUCCAGCUCAUCUUCACUGGUGUUGUAAACCAAAGGCAUUAUAAACAUGUUCGGUGUUACACUGUAGGUGUGAGGAAGAAGUGUGCAAAAAUAAUUCCUUUUUAAUUAAGAACGACAUUAGUUUCUGGAUAUCUUCGGGUUUGGGGGCUUUGUAGAGCGGAGGACGUCUUUAUUUGGAUUUAGUCGAUACGAGAGCGCAUCAAAGUCAUUCAAUAUAAGGUUUUGAAAAGAGAUUUAAAAAAAUCAGCGAGGACGUUGCAUUUCCUUUGAAAGGCGCACGCAGGUGCUAUUUGACUGUAAGUGGGUCAAAUCAGAAUAAGAAUAAGCCAGCUCUAUCUUACUGUACUUAACCCCUAUUCACAGCAGACUGGUAAAGAAUAGACAUCUAAAAGUAGGACACUGAUAACUAUGAACAUGAAUAUCUACUCUACUUUUACUCUUGUAGGAUAAUAAAUGAUUCCAUUGUUUCUGGGGGGUAAUUUACGAUGCUGUAAUUUACGUUCUUCUAGGAAACUAGAAAAUAGGUCAGCAAUUAAUUGAAACAUCUGCAAACAUACUCGGAAUUACUAUAUAUAAGGCAAAAAAGAGUUUGUACAAUUCCAACAAACUUGAGAGUCAAGUUUUGCCUCCCUUCCACUGAAACCAUUUCUGAUGAAACUUCAGUGAAGACAUUGGGUCAUGAAUGGAUCAUGAAGGGCUAAAUGCAUCUCUCGGUGCUUUGUCAGGUGGAUUUUUUUUUCUUUUUUUGACAAAGUUUCGCAUACUGUUCACCUGUUGUAAAUCUUUUGUCCUCUACUUGCACACUGUGCUGAAAUAUGCUAGGUUUUCAGCUAACAGCUCCUUGGGAAUCACCUUCUUGGUACAAAAAUAAAAUGUUAUGUACGCCAAA